GUUCCUUGGGUGGCGAGCGGCGGACGGGUGAGUAAUGCCUAGGAAUUGCCCUGAUGUGGGGGAUAACCAUUGGAAACGAUGGCUAAUACCGCAUGAUGCCUACGGGCCAAAGAGGGGGACCUUCGGGCCUCUCGCGUCAGGAUAUGCCUAGGUGGGAUUAGCUAGUUGGUGAGGUAAUGGCUCACCAAGGCGACGAUCCCUAGCUGGUCUGAGAGGAUGAUCAGCCACACUGGAACUGAGACACGGUCCAGACUCCUACGGGAGGCAGCAGUGGGGAAUAUUGCACAAUGGGCGCAAGCCUGAUGCAGCCAUGCCGCGUGUAUGAAGAAGGCCUUCGGGUUGUAAAGUACUUUCAGUCGUGAGGAAGGUGGUGUUGUUAAUAGCAGCAUCAUUUGACGUUAGCGACAGAAGAAGCACCGGCUAACUCCGUGCCAGCAGCCGCGGUAAUACGGAGGGUGCGAGCGUUAAUCGGAAUUACUGGGCGUAAAGCGCAUGCAGGUGGUGGAUUAAGUCAGAUGUGAAAGCCCGGGGCUCAACCUCGGAACCGCAUUUGAAACUGGUUCACUAGAGUACUGUAGAGGGGGGGUAGAAUUUCAGGUGUAGCGGUGAAAUGCGUAGAGAUCUGAAGGAAUACCGGUGGCGAAGGCGGCCCCCCUGGACAGAUACUG
rnacentral:rRNA from 1 species